UACGGAGGGUGCAAGCGUUAUCCGGAUUCACUGGGUUUAAAGGGUGCGUAGGUGGAUUGGUAAGUCAGUGGUGAAAUCUCUGGGCUUAACUCAGAAACUGCCAUUGAUACUAUCAGUCUUGAAUACCGUGGAGGUCAGCGGAAUAUGUCAUGUAGCGGUGAAAUGCUUAGAUAUGACAUAGAACACCAAUUGCGAAGGCAGCUGGCUGGGCGAAUAUUGACACUGAGGCACGAAAGCGUGGGGAUCAAACAGG
rnacentral:rRNA from 1 species